rnacentral:lncRNA from 1 species
UAGGAGAGGAUCAGAGGAAGGGCAUGUGACGGUUGCCGCAUCUUGCGGUGCCGACGCCGACAGCUGCUGCUGAGCAGAACUGCGAAAUCAUUCUGGGCACGUUCUUGCGUCGUGGAUUCGCGAUCAAUGGCUGCCAACUAUAUUCUUCUUUCUUGAAUAUUCCAACCAGUCUUUUAUAUUUAUUAAUACAGGAAAAAAACAAUUGGGAUCUUCGAACCAAUCUUACUGCUGUACUACUAAAUUUUCAACCAAAGCAACCGCUGGUCUUGUUUCAGUUUUAUUUAUAGAUAGAAAAGUAAAAGAAAUCGUGGAAAUACCUUUUUUCCUCCUCUAUAAUUUUGAUGGGUUCAGAACUUUCAGAGACCAUUGACGCUGAGGCCAAACUGCUAGCUAGGUCAUACUAGUUUGUCAAUCAAUAGAGAGGGAAAAGGGGGGAAAAAAAGGAAGGGGAAGCAAAGUCAGCAGCGCAUGUCUUGAACUCCGGCCGUGCAGGUGCAGGUGUGGCUAGCCCAAGGACCUCAUGACGCCGACGACGAAAUGCAGGAUGCAGUCGUCGUCGCCGCCGGCGGCGUCGAGCAUGUCGUCGCAGACCAGGCGCUCCAGCGCGGGGUCCCUCGGCAGCGCCCCGGCGUGGUACAGCACGGUCGCCGCCGUCUCGGACACCGGCCGGGUCGCCACGCACGCCGCCAGCCUCGCGACCGCCCGGAGGAACAGCGGCAGGAGGCCCUGCUUGUGCCGUGCACCGUGCACCGUGCGCGCACGCAACAACGCCGACGCGCGCGUUAGCAAACUGAUAUAGGUAUUAGGUAGCACAAAAUGCAGUGAGAACGAAACCACGUGCUCACCAUGCGAGAUCGUCGCCGGUCGGCUGCGUUCGACGACGACGACGGCGAUGCAUGUGAG